AAACGACUCUCGGCAACGGAUAUCUCGGCUCUCGCAUCGAUGAAGAACGUAGCGAAAUGCGAUACUUGGUGUGAAUUGCAGAAUCCCGUGAACCAUCGAGUCUUUGAACGCAAGUUGCGCCCCAAGCCGUUAGGCCGAGGGCACGUCUGCCUGGGUGUCACGCAUCGUCGCCCCCCCCCAAACCCCCCUCGCGGGGCGUCGUCGGGCGGGGCGGAGACUGGCCUCCCGCGCGCUCCCGCUCGCGGUUGGCCCAAAUUCGAGUCCUUCGGCGUCCGAGCCGCGACGAUCGGUGGUGCGUAAAAUGCCUCUCGAGCUCCCGUCGCGCGCUCGGGUCUCCGUGUUGCGGGCUCGCGGACCCUUUGACGGAGCGCCCCGGCGCUCGCUCUGCGACCCCAGGUCAGGCGGGACUACCCGCUGAGUUUAAGCAUAUCAAUAAGCGGAGGAAAAGAAACUUACCAGGAUUCCCUUAGUAACGGCGAGCGAACCGGGAAG
rnacentral:rRNA from 1 species